UAAAGCCAUUUCCCCCUUCCUCUUCCUCUGGCUGCGAUCGCUCUCUCUACCGCUCUUUCUCUGCCUCUUUGAUUUCUCCCUCCUUUUUUAUCUUCUUUACCAACAAUUUUCAAUGGGUAUGGAAACUUGUGUCAUUUCCAUUAUCCUCCUUCUCCUCCUACAUUUCUACCGUAUAAAUUCCUCCCUUUGGUCUGAAAAUAAAAAUGAAUUCUUAAAGCAAAAAUAACUGAGUGUUUUUGAGAUCUUUGUGAUAUUCCUAAGUGAUUGGUUCUUUGUGAACGAUCCUAGCGAUUUUCUUGGUGAAAGUUUGGAGCAACCCUGAGAUUGAUUGUCGGUCUUUUGUGGCUGUGUCUUGCCUCUCCGGAUCUUGGUUUCCUGAGACGUUCUACUGCUUUUCUUUAUUUUUCUAUUGUAAUAUUCAUUCUUGUAUUAUUCUUUUAUAAAAGAGGUUUGUAUUAUUUAAGGGUUUGAAAAACACACAAAGAUAUAAUUGUUAGAAAGGGCAUUUUUGGGGCUUCUGCUGAAGGAUGAAUACCCAACAGUGGUAUGAGAGCCAUAAGGCCUCUGAUAUCUCCUCGGUGGUGGUCAGGAUCAAGAUGAUGAUAGUAAACGAAGAAAUGUUAGAGACAAGAGAAAGAAAUGAAAACAAAAUGGUGUAUGAGAUUGGAGGUAGGCAAAAGUCAGAAUUAUCUAAACGAGGAACUUGAGAUAGAUGAAUCUCUUAGCUUUGACAUCACUGAAUGGUGGAAAUUGCAUAUGUCAAGAUUUCCCUUCUUAACAAGAUUGGUCAUGCCUAUAUCUACCGUUGUAUCGAAGUCUGCUUUCAGUAUUGGAGGUCGCAUAAUCGAUGAUUUUAGAGCUUCAUUAACUCCAAAGAUGGCACAUGCUCUAAAUUAUUGCCAAGAUUGACAACGUCAUGCUCCAUUCAAACCAGUUGAAAAAGGCCAUGACGUCAUUUACAAAAUUUUAAAAGUGUGGGCUCAGAGUAACCAUCAUCGGGUUAAAAUAUUGUAUAUCAUUUAUGGUUGAUGGAGGAACUUCAAUUUGAGGGACAGAAUUUCAGGAUUCCCAAGUUCCAACUAACGAGUUAUGAACUUAUGAUUUCAUUGUACGGAUACAUUGAUGUUAUUCCUAUAUACGUAUUGGAUAUUGAAUAUUGUGCUAUUAAAUUUGAAUUUAAA